UACGAAGGGGGCUAGCGUUGUUCGGAAUUACUGGGCGUAAAGCGCGCGCAGGCGGUCUUCCAAGUCAGUGGUGAAAGCCCGGAGCUCAACUCCGGAACUGCCAUUGAAACUGUAAGACUUGAGGAUGAGAGAGGUGAGUGGAAUUCCCAGUGUAGAGGUGAAAUUCGUAGAUAUUGGGAAGAACACCGGUGGCGAAGGCGGCUCACUGGCUCGUAACUGACGCUCAGGCGCGACAGCGUGGGGAUCAAACAGG
rnacentral:rRNA from 1 species